rnacentral:pre_miRNA from 14 species
GGUUGACCAUGGUGUGUACGCUUUAUUUAUGACGUAGGACACAUGGUCUGCU